UACGGGGGGGGCAAGCGUUGUUCGGAAUUACUGGGCGUAAAGGGCUCGUAGGCGGCCAACUAAGUCAGACGUGAAAUCCCUCGGCUUAACCGGGGAACUGCGUCUGAUACUGGAUGGCUUGAGGUUGGGAGAGGGAUGCGGAAUUCCAGGUGUAGCGGUGAAAUGCGCAGAUAUCAGGAGGAACACCAAUGGCGAAGGCAGCUCGCUGGGACGUGACUGACGCUGAGACGCGAAAGCGUGGGGAGCAAACAGG
rnacentral:rRNA from 1 species